UGUAUAAUGAGAUCAUUGUAUGAAAAGUAGCGUCUCAGUAUAAUGCUGCAUCUUUAACUAAUCAAGUAGAAGACGGCAUUGAUCAUAUACGCAAACUUGUUGGACAUGAAGGUUCAAUCUUUCGGAUAGCCUGGUCUUUUGAUGGAACCAAAUUGGUUUCUGUCUCUGAUGAUCUGCUCGUGUCUGGGCAGUUUGUGCGGAAACAAAGCAUUCUGAGAAGCCAGGAGACCCCAUUGGCCUUGUUUUGUUUGGUCACAAUGCCCGAGUUUGGGACUGCUGUAUUCUUGGUUCAGUAAGCUUUACAAAAGUUUUU